rnacentral:misc_RNA from 1 species
CAGUUAUUUAAAUUAAUAAAGAAAGAGAAUGGAUAAGAGUCAGACAACAGAUAAAAUGGAUAACAAGGAAUUAAAACUUAUUCAUCAGUUUCUUAUAGAUCACAAUUUUGAAAAUACUGCUGAUGCAUUAAUGAUAGAAGCUGCGAUAAAAGGCCAUAAAAAUUUGGAAAUUCAAAAUGUGACUAAUGCAGUCAAUUUUGAAAAUAUGAUGUUAAGUUAUAAGACAGGAGAUUGGAAAACAUUUUUUAAACUGUGGAAUUCAUUGAUACCCGAAGAUGUUAAACAGACAAGAGAUUAUAAAAUUUUGAUGUUGAAUUUACACAUAUAUUUUGCAAUGUUACCUAAACGUAUGUUGCUUUUACAUUCUUAUAAAGAUAAAGAUCAAAAUUAUCCAACUGAUUCUAUAAUACCCUUGAAUCAACAAGAUUUUGAACAAAAAGAGCAUGUUAUCACUGACAUAGAGAAGAAUAUGAAUGAGAGUAUGGAACAGUUAUGUUCAUUUCUGAAUACAUCCGGUAAAGAGUUAGAAAAUGAUACCAAACUAAGGCCUUUCUUUGCAUUACCAUUUAUCGAAGAUCCAUAUGCAGAACCAAUUAUUUCUAAAAUAUUUGAGAAGAGCUGGACAGAUGAAUUGAGUGAAAAUAUACAACUAUUUCUUGAUAAAUACAAAGUAAGUUUUAGUGGUACAAAAUGCAAUGAUGAUGGUUUGAAUCAAUUUCCUUCAGAUCAAGAAUAUCUAUCACAAGAAUUGAAAAAAGAUGUAUCUCCAGACAAAGUAAUUAGAAACAACAAUGUACCAAUCAUCCCAAAUGAUAGAAACAUUCCAAUAUUCUUAGAAGAUGGUGAAAUUGGAGAACAGUAUAGCUUAUGCAGUGAUUCAAAUUAUAAUUACAAGUCAAAAAGCAUACAAACUGCGUCUGUGAAUUCCUCUUCAGAAGAAAUGCAUUCAUCAUUUAAUAACAAAAGCAACAAAAAGUUAAUGCAAUAUAUUCAGGAAUUAGCCAUAACACGAUCUCAUUUAUGUACCGUUCGUUCUAAUUAUGAAAAACUAAAGCUGAGAUUUCAUAAAUUACACGCUGAUUAUCAUAAAUUGAUGAGCAUUGCAAGAGUAUUAACAACUUCUUUAGAAAAUUCGGUGAAAGGACAGUCAAUUAAUUUCCAAACCAUGUUAGAGACAUGUAUACAAAUUUUUCCAGAUUUGUUUAAUCAAAAUAUACGAGAAAGUUCACAUUGUUCUUCAGAAUUGUUGUUAGACAGAUCUCGUUCUGACAUCAAAAUUAGUGAACAUUCUAUGUCGUACAGUAUAUCUGUUCCUCCAAAAUUAUUAGAUUUCAAAAAGAUCAAAUUACAUUUAAUCAAUGGAAGUAUUAAAGUUAAAUUAUUUCUUCUGCAAGCAUUGAGAAGGAAAAUAACAUUUGGUCAACCUGGAGAAAGGGAUGAGACCUUACAUGAGUACAUAAGUAAAGAUUUGUUGGGUCUUCAUAGUCAAAUUGCCAACUACAAAGGCAAAUCAAUUUUGCCACAUUUAUUAACGCCCGAAAAUUUUAUUAUACCUCACCCCUUGCAGCAGUCAGUUACAAGAUUAUUAAAUACUUUAGCUUCGUUCAGAUGUGGAAGAGAUUAUUUGUCAUUUGAUUCCACUGUUGUUGAUAUGGUAUAUAAAUGUCUAAAUAAUAUCUGUGAUAAUAAUAUAGAUACAGUGACUUGUAAUAUGAUGAUUGCAAUGCUGCAGAAGUUAUCAUUACGGAAACAACAAAGAUUAUAUAUGAUCGAAAAUGGAUUAGUAGAAUGGUUGAUUCAUCAUUUGCAUAAUCAAUGCCGAAUCAUGGAUUCUUAUCGAUUAGAGUAUGCUACAGCUCUCUUAAUGAACUUAUCAUUACAUCAAGUAGCUCAAAGGCGGGCAUCUGCAAUGGCGUCUUUACUUAUUUCAACGUUAAUUUCUUUGCUAUUAAUGGAUCAUACAUCGGCAUUGCCUUAUAUUAAUGGAGCAUUAAAUAAUUUUCUGACAAACUAUACAAUUAAUGAAGAAGCUAAAAGGAUGAAAUUUUCAUCUAUGUUAGAACAGUAUAGUAAAUAUAAAACUGGAGAAAUAAGGAAACAUUUAGAUCAUAUUUUAAAGAUACAUAAAGGUGAAAUUACUAUUGUAACAGAAGCUGAAGACAUGGCGGAUAACGAUAAUGAAGAAUUUGAUGUACUAGAUAGUCAAAUAGAAGAAAAUGAUCCGGUAAAGAAUAACUAUGGAGAAUUAUGUGGGGAAGCGUUGCUUGCAUCUUGUUACACGAUAAUACGGAAAGUAAUUCAGCGAAAAGAAACGAAUACGGAAGUAUCGUCAGUUACAAAAUUUAAGACUGACACAGAUGAACCUAUUUUACACACUAGUCAACAAGUUAAAAAUUUAUAUUCUGAACAUGAAACAGUAUUACCGGAAGAAAAUUGUCUAAGAAAACACGUGAGAAGCAAACAUAAUAUUAUGGUAGUACAAGAUUUUAAAAGAACAGUAUUAUAUCCAAAUUUACAGUCGCAUGAAACUAGGUUAAUUUCUUCCUCGUCUAAGGAGCACGUUUCUAAGCAAAUUACGACUAGAAAGUGGAAGGUUUCUUCUAAUGCUUUAAGGAGUUCUAAAUCAUUAAUUGAAAAUUGUAGUCAAAGUGACUCAGAGAUUCAAUUUGAACCGAAAUUGCAGAAGCAUCAUAAAAAAAAUGCAUUAAAUGAUCAAAAUUCAGACGACGCGCAAUUACGGAUAAUAAAAGAUAACAGAGAUUCUGUCAAUGAAUUAUUUAAUGGAAGUGCUGUAUAUUUGUUUGAAAAUCAAUGUUCGAAGCAAAACAGUAAAAUGACUGUAACAUCUUCUGUGUUCCUAGCAGUUGGAAGUGAAGCUGAAUCAACAGUCAUGGGAAAGUUGAGCAGCAUUGCAUCAUUGUGAGUCAAGAUUUCAAUGUUCAAUUGCACUUUAUGAUUUUGUACAUAGUUAUGCACCACUGUCCAUUUUAUACUGGAACAGUAAUGGAAAUGAAACUAAAAAUCAUUCAAGGACACAAGAAACAGAUCUCGAUUCGGAAGAAGCAUUCUUAUCUAAGCCAAAACUUC